UCUGGACCUACCAUGAAAGACUUCUGAAUC
rnacentral:piRNA from 1 species